rnacentral:rRNA from 1 species
AGCGAACGCUGGCGGCAGGCCUAACACAUGCAAGUCGAACGAAGUCUUCGGACUUAGUGGCGGACGGGUGAGUAACACGUGGGAACGUGCCUUUAGGUUCGGAAUAACUCAGGGAAACUUGUGCUAAUACCGAAUGUGCCCUUCGGGGGAAAGAUUUAUCGCCUUAGAGCGGCCCGCGUCUGACUAGCUAGUUGGUGAGGUAAAGGCUCACCAAGGCUACGAUCAGUAGCUGGUCUGAGAGGAUGACCAGCCACAUUGGGACUGAGACACGGCCCAAACUCCUACGGGAGGCAGCAGUGGGGAAUCUUGCGCAAUGGGCGAAAGCCUGACGCAGCCAUGCCGCGUGGAUGAUGAAGGUCUUAGGAUUGUAAAAUCCUUUCACCGGUGAAGAUAAUGACUGUAGCCGGAGAAGAAGCCCCGGCUAACUUCGUGCCAGCCGCCGCCGUAAAAC